rnacentral:rRNA from 1 species
GACGUGUUGAUGAAGUAGUAGGCUUUGAAACUUCGGCCGGUCGAACGGGUCCGUAGGUAUACUGAUUUAUUCCCUGAAAUGUGGAAUUCGGGCUAAACUGCCCAAGCUGCCAUUUUUGACACGCAUCUUUCGACCGAACCUGACUUGUUUUUUCACCUCAAAACGAACGCCUCGUGAAUUUGGGGACUCUGAAUAGCUUCCCUGAUCGCAUGGUCUCGCACCGGCCACGUAUCUUUCAAGUGUCUGCCUUAUCAACUUUCGAUGGUAGUUUAUAUGCCUACCAUGGUUGUAACGGGUAACGGAGAAUAAGGGUUCGACUCCGGAGAGGGAGCCUGAGAAACGGCUACCACAUCCAAGGAAGGCAGCAGGCGCGCAAAUUACCCACUCUCAGCACGAGGAGGUAGUGACGAAAAAUAACGAGACCGUUCUCUUCGAGGCCGGUUAUCGGAAUGAGUACAAUUUAAAGCCGUUAACGAGGAUCUAUGAGAGGGCAAGUCUGGUGCCAGCAGCCGCGGUAAUUCCAGCUCUCAAAGUGUAUAUCGUCAUUGCUGCGGUUAAAAAGCUCGUAGUUGGAUUUAAGCUCGAUGACUCGGGUCCAUCCCUAGGAUGAGAACUGAGCUCAUCGGCUAUCAUCGGCUGGUUUUGUCUACGGUGGCUUUAAACGGUUGCCGUAGGGCUGGCUAGCAAGGUUUACUUUUUAAAAACAAUAAGAGUGCCUCAUCGCGGGCCGUUAUUGCCUGCAAAAAUCGGGGCGUGUACUAAAAGGACUAGGAUCUCCGUACAUUCUUUGUUUUGGUUUGAUUUGAACCGACCACUCCAAUGGCUAAGGAUGUACCGGACGCGGGGCGUUCGCUUCCCGUUCCGUGAUGUUGCACAUUUCAUUGUACGGGGUACGAAAGUGCGCACUGGGGCGUUAAGCUUAGUUGCUGGUCAUAUACCACAAAAUAGAGAUAGCGAGAGUUCGAUGUCGUAUAUGUCAUGGCCAGACGCUUCGCUUAAGGCCCCAGUUAGACCUUCUGUUGUCCGUAAGUAAAUGCGCGCCGCCCCGGACACUUUGAG